ensembl:lncRNA
UCCCUGGGACAGCUCUGUGCACUCCAAAUCAAAGCAGUUCUCCAGGCUGGCCUAGACAUGGGGGGGGGGGAUGGGUCCUGGGGCCCCCAGCAUUGGGUUUGCACCAACAGGGUGAGCAAACCAGCCUCAUUUUAUCCCCAGUCAGGGUUAAACCUACUUAAAAUCAGGUGUGUGUGUGUGCACGGAUGGAGAAAGUGCUGUGCAAAGUGCACGUUGGUGAUGGGUGACCCCGAUGUCCCCGGGCAGGCUGACAGCGCUGUGCAGCUCUCCCUGCUUUUGUUGCCAGCUGGAGCCAGGAGCACUCCUGCAGAUCAUUUCGAUUCGGGUAAAUCAGCGCUUUCCACUCCCCAAAGGAUAUUUCCCACCAGUUGGGCUGCGGGGUCACCUCCAGCAGAGAAGACCUUGAGUGAUGGAUGCUGUGUCUCGCAGCGAUUUAUUGGAGGCCGUUGCAUACCUCUUAACCUCAAACACUGCAACAAAGAAGAUGGGAAGCCUGCAGAGCCCCGAGAACCUGGAGACAGCAAACCCUGCUCAUUCCCUGGGCUGGGAGCUCUGCACUGUGCUGGGCUGAGCCAUGCGUGUGCAGAGCAAAGGGCCCUGAGGCCGUCCUGCCCCUCCACUGUGCUUCUCCCUCUUGAAGCCAUGAGGAAUUUCGCAGAGAUUUCCAAAGCCUUUGGGGAGAUGCUAUGGAAAUGUGCAGCUGGGGGGGACUGGAGCGCCCAGGGGCCCUUAAGUAACAUUUGUGCACACGGACAAAGAAAUCCUAACUAAUAAUGAGCCCCGUUCCAAGGUUAUGAUUGAGUUUUUCCCCUGUUCUGCUUGAUAUUUCUGCCAAAGAAAGAAAAAUCCUCGCUGAAGUCUAGCAGGAAAUCCAAUAAAAUUUCUUCAAAAGAUGGGUCUGACAUUGAAAAAUAGCAAAAUUAUAAAAGUAGGCCUCAGAAAAGAAAAGGGGAGAGUUAUUAUAUCUGGCACCUAGCGAGGGCCCAGAGCUCCCUCUCCAAAUGAG